rnacentral:misc_RNA from 1 species
GGGGAAAAAAUACAGUCAACUGUC